ensembl:snoRNA small nucleolar RNA, C/D box 1C
UUGAGCUGAGGAUGAUUUAAAGUUAUCCCUGUCUGAAAUGCCAUCUUGUGGAGUCCUGAUUACUGAAGCUCAA